rfam:Gorilla gorilla gorilla genomic chromosome, chrX, whole genome shotgun sequence
GCUGAGUUAAACCUCCCAAUGCUGAUGUUCAUCAGACCCCAGAAUAGGUGUCUGUUACAGGAUGAGCAAGAUGUUAGUCAUAGAAGUAGAACUCUAUGGAGAUAUAACUACUCACCUGCAAAAUCAGGUGGCUCUGAAAAUGAAUAGCACUGUAGCGUUGGGCCAAUUCCUGC